GUGGGGAAUUUUGGACAAUGGGGGCAACCCUGAUCCAGCCAUGCCGCGUGCGGGAAGAAGGCCUUCGGGUUGUAAACCGCUUUUGUCAGGGAAGAAAUCCUUUGGGUUAAUACCUCGGAGGGAUGACGGUACCUGAAGAAUAAGCACCGGCUAACUACGUGCCAGCAGCCGCGGUAAUACGUAGGGUGCGAGCGUUAAUCGGAAUUACUGGGCGUAAAGCGUGCGCAGGCGGUUUUGUAAGAUCGAUGUGAAAUCCCCGGGCUCAACCUGGGAACUGCAUUGGUGACUGCAAGGCUGGAGUGCGGCAGAGGGGGAUGGAAUUCCGCGUGUAGCAGUGAAAUGCGUAGAUAUGCGGAGGAACACCGAUGGCGAAGGCAAUCCCCUGGGCCUGCACUGACGCUCAUGUACGAAAGCGUGGGGAGCAAACAGGAUUAGAAACCCCUGUAGUCC
rnacentral:rRNA from 1 species